UGUGUGUGUGUCUGUCUGUCUGUGUGUCUGUGUGUGUGUCUGUCUGUGUCUCUGUCUGUGUGUCUGUGUGUGUGUCUGUCUGUGUCUCUGUCUGUGUGUCUGUGUGUCUCUCAGUGCCUGAAUGGGGUGGUGAAGGAAGCGAAAGCUUUGAGUUCUUCACUUCUGAAGGAGAUCCAGAGGAUGUGUCUCUCUCAGCUUCACACCUUCCUACACGGCCUUCAAGCCUUGGAGAGGAAGCGCAUGAGUGCAGGGCUUGGUGCAGGAGAGGGAGGGAUCCUCCACCUGUUCAGGACCAUCAACACCUGCAGGGAGCUCAGGCUGUUAGCGGGGCAGUUAGCAUCUGAGGCUCAGACUGAUGCUGCUGCUCCUGCCGUGAGCCUCUUGGAGGAACUGGAGGCUCAGGCCAAAGAACAGCUGCUGCACACAACAACACACAACAUAGAGGCAGCUUUGAAGACCUACUUUAAGACUGGGGGUGAUGACAUGUGUGAUGUCACGACCAGGAUUGAACCGCUGUUUGCCCCUUUACCAUUGGUCAAAGAUACACACACUCGGAAGGUCCUGGUUGACUCCGUUUACCAGAAUAUCACUUCCUUGUACCUGCGACACCUGUUGCUAAGCAACCGCAGUCAGCUGGACAAGAGAUGGAGUGAUGUUGGGCUGAGAGUGAGACGGGAUGCAGAGGAGCUACACAAGUCCUUCACACAGCAGGAAGGUAGUGUGGAGAAAAGGUGUGUGUCCUUACAGAAGAUCAGUGAGGUUCUGAAGACCAAUGAUGUGAACACACUAAAACUAGUCCUCAUCGAGAUCAUCAACGAGUGCCCUGGCAUCAGCGGUGAGGAACAGCUGAAUACCCUGCUGAGAUGGAAGGGCCAGUUGUCACGGCAACAGCAGACAGAAGUGAUGGAUGCAGUUGUGGAAUAUUGCCCCCGAUCCGCCCCCAAUGACUCACCUGCACACACUCUGGCUCCGCCUCCGGCUCCGCCUCUCCGUCCCGCCUCCAGGUGGUACCGCGCCAUGUCCUGCCUCAGGCCACCAAUCACAGACUGAGGUCCGCUCAGGCCACCAAUCACAGCCUGAGGUCUAUUCAGCCGACCAAUCACAGCCUGAGGUCUGCUCAGCCGACCAAUCACAGACUGAGGUCUAUUCAGCCGACCAAUCACAGCCUGAGGUCUGCUCAGCCGACCAAUCACAGCCUGAGGUCUAUUCAGCCGACCAAUCACAGCCUGAGGUCUGCUCAGCCGACCAAUCACAGCCUGAGGUCUGCUCAGCCGACCAAUCACAGCCUGGGGUUUGGCAAUGUUUAUGGUAGUGGGGUACUGUUUUCUUUCUGGGGUGCCAACUCAUUAUAAUUCAGUGAUGUGUAUGGGCCAUUCUACCGAAUUGGUGCAAAGUGUGGUCCCACAACAAUAAAAACUAUUUACAAAACAAUUAAGUAUUCAGACAUAGAUAUUUACUAAGAAUAUGUUAUGGUCUAUUUAAACCCAAGACAUUAAUUGAGAUAGGGAUAAGCUAAAUAUAUACAAAAUCAUCAUUUAUAAGGUACUUUCUAUUGGGAAGUAGCUGUCCCCAACCCUGACAUCUAAAUUUCAAUGUCUGUAAAUAACACUUUUUAGAUUUUUUUGAUUUUUUUCAAUGAUGCAAUUUCAAAGAUCUUUACGAUUAAGUUUAAACAGAACUUGGAAGAUUUAGAUUUAUUGUGAGUUUAAUUUAAAAAAAAAUAAACUAUACUCAAAAAAUCAUGUCCAUAGAUUUCAUGUCACUACCGAAACACAGGAGUUUUAGUCCAUUGGCUGAGCCUGUUUUUUAGCCAUACCCCUGAAUUUAUAACCAGGCAGUGAUACUGCAUCCCUGUCCCUCAUGGCUGAAUGGUAAGUAGCUAGAUCCCAUACUUUUGAUAUAAAUGUGUUCCAAAGUCUGAAAAUCAGUGUGUAACCUUAAGAAUUGUCACUACCGAACACAUAUUUUCUUCAAUUAAGUAAACUUUUGUUUUUUUUUUGCAAAGUAUUAUGUUUGUUUGUGAGUACACCUCUUCAAAGAUGUGUUUGUUAGCCAUGUGCUUGCUAGAAUUAUUUAUUUAUGCUCAAAGUUAGCUAGAAUUGUCACUACCGAAACAGUCACUACGGAAACAGUUACUACCAAAACAUAUGGUAAAGUUUCGGUAGUGACAUGAUCGUUUCGGUAGUGACAAAAUGGAAUGGUAAGUAGUUCAAUCCCAUCAUUUUGAAAUAAAUGUGUUAUGUGGACUAAAUGGUAAAGAUGUAGAUAAUGCUGAUUUCUAUCUGAAAUUGUUCAGGAGAGAAAGAAUCAUAAGACACCAAAAUUCCAAAAGGAAAAGGUGGAGCAGAGAGGCUGAGAGAAUGCCGACAAAGAGUGAGGGAUGACCCAGUGAAACACCAAGAAUAUUUAAGGAAGGAAAGAGAAAGAAAUAAGAAACGAAAGGAAGAAGGAAAGUUGAAAUGUAUCAGUGAUUUAUCCAACAGGGAGCAAAGGAAGGUCAGAAAAUCAUGGAGGAAAAGAAAGCAAAAGCACAAAACAUUUGUGUUUUUACUAUUCCCAACCUAAAGCAUGUUAUGAGUCAAGAUUAAGCAAUAAGGUUGAGGAAAUAUUAUACAACCUUGCAAACAAAAUACUGUGGCCACUACCGAAACAGUGCUGUCACUACCGAAACACUCGAUGUUUUGUAAAAAAUAAAGUAUAUUGAGUUAUCAACUAAAAUGUUAUGAUACUGAUUUGGUUUAAUGUAUGUUCAAUCUCAUCAAUCAUCAACUCUGGAAUUAAUAUGAUCAGUAUUUUGCAUUUUACAAAGAAAUAUUGCACUUAGAUUUGGAUGAAGUGUAUAAAUUGAACUUUGACAUUUGGUAAAACUUUCUUUUUUUAAUGAUUUCAUUGUGAAAACCUUCAAGAAAUAUUUGUAAAAAUACUCGUCAGAAAAGGGAAGGAAACACAAUCUGAACAGGUUAAUAAUAAUACGUUUUUCCUAUAGUUUAUUACCAUGUUUCGGUAGUGACAAUUUUGGGGAGAGGAAAAACAUUCCAACACAUUCUGAAAAUACAAUAUAAAAAUGUACGGUUCAUUGGGAAUAAAACAUACACAUUUUCAAAAUAUUUCCAACCUGACCCGUAUACAAAUGUCAUUCUACAGAUUACGUGUGUGUGUGUGUGCGUGUGUGUGUGUGUGUGUGUGAGACUAUGUGUUGGGGGAUGUAAUGUAUACAUUUUAUUUUCUAUAUUGAGUAGCUACUGUUUUGUCUCCUUCUAUGCUUAUGCAAGUAAUUGAUUAUAUAGGGAACAAUUAGAGAAAAACCCACUGGAAUCUCUACAUUUAUGUUUCAUGUAAAUUUACGUUGCAAUAAAUAAGUUCAGAAACACAACGGGA
ensembl:lncRNA